CUACGGGAUGCACCAGUGGGGAAUAUUGGGCAAUGGGCGCAAGCCUGACCCAGCAACGCCGCGUGAGGGAAGAAGGUUUUCGGAUUGUAAACCUCUGUCCUUGGGGACGAAGAAGUGACGGUACCCAAGGAGGAAGCUCCGGCUAACUACGUGCCAGCAGCCGCGGUAAUACGUAGGGAGCAAGCGUUGUCCGGAAUUACUGGGCGUAAAGGGUGCGUAGGCGGCAUAUUAAGUCAGGUGUGAAAUACUCGGGCUCAACCCGGGGGCUGCAUUUGAAACUGAUAUGCUUGAGUGUGAGAGAGGAAAGUGGAAUUCCUAGUGUAGCGGUGGAAUGCGUAGAUAUUAGGAGGAACACCAGUGGCGAAGGCGACUUUCUGGCUCAUAACUGACGCUGAGGCACGAAAGCGUGGGGAGCAAACAGGAUUAGAUACCCGCGUAGUC
rnacentral:rRNA from 1 species